GGAAGAGAGUCGGGCAGUGACGCAUGGAAACAGUACAUGAGGAGAUCUACCUGCACAAUCAACUACAGUGCCGAGUUGCCAUUGGCCCAGGGAAUCAAGUUUGAAUGAACGCAUGUUUAUAUAAAAAGGACACAUUCUACAAAAAAUGUCUUCUGUGAUAUCAUUGUGUGAAGUGCUAAAAAACAUAUACAAUUGUGAGCCAAAAAAGUGCAUUGAAAUCAGAGAUUAUUUACAUUUGUAUUAGUUAGAAAUAUAUUUUGGUAGUUUUGUUCGACAUACAGUGUAUGUUGAGCAGAUAUUCUUUAUACUCUUGAUAUGGAAAGUUGUAACGUGGGUUUUUUUUUUUGCAUUUUUGAAAAAAAUAUCAUAAUGGACAUUUAAAGAAAGGGAGAUUUUAUCAUUUGAUCAUGAUAUGAUAUUGCUGGCCAUCAGAUGUUAUAAUUUGUUAUUGAAAUCAAAAGAUUUGAGACCAAUCGACUACUUUGAAUAUAGAGCUAUGGCUUUUAUAUCUCAAAGAAUAUAUGUCAUUUAGAUUACUUUUUUUGUUAGAAUCUCACAAAUCAUUUUGUAAAAAAAAAAAAAUGGAAUAUUUUCAAUAAAGUUGUGAAAUAG
rnacentral:misc_RNA from 1 species